UUUCCGUAGGUGAACCUGCGGAGGGAUCAUUAACGAGUAGGGGUCAUUCUGGCCCCUCUCCCAACCCUUUUUUUAAUUACUAUGUUGCUUUGGCGGGCCCGUUUCACGACCGCCGGAAGUCCUUGAAGUUCCUGCCCGUGCCCGCCAAUAGCCUUCUACAAACUCUUGAUCAAUUGUGAUGUCUGAGUAAUAAAUUUAAUAGUUAAAACUUUCAACAACGGAUCUCUUGGUUCUG
rnacentral:misc_RNA from 1 species